rnacentral:rRNA from 1 species
UACGGGGGGGGCAAGCGUUGUUCGGAAUUACUGGGCGUAAAGGGCUCGUAGGCGGCCUGUUAAGUCGAACGUGAAAUCCCCGGGCUCAACCCGGGAACUGCGUCCGAUACUGGCAGGCUUGAAUCCGGGAGAGGGAUGCAGAAUUCCAGGUGUAGCGGUGAAAUGACGUAGAUAUCUGGAGGAAUACCGGUGGCGAAGGCGGCAUCCUGGACCGGCAUUGACGCUGAGGAGCGAAAAGCCAGGGGAGCAAAGCGGG